AUAGCGGGGAGAGCAUGCUCAGUGGAAUUGGGGCAUGAAUGACAUCUUGGAGGCCUGAAACAUCUCCUGCAUCAGGAGAAUCUGUAAAGCAUCUGGACUCCUCCUCUCCCCACUUCCAUGGAAUGGUCUUCCACACCCCAUCAGCACUGGACUUGGAUGGGUGACUUAAUUUUGCCAAGAGGAAGUAAGACUAUGUAGAAUAGAUUGCCAGAUACUCUGGCAAUCCAUCACCAGUAACACAUGCCCUUCAUCCUGGACCCAAGAUACCUGCCUAUGCUGCAGUAGUAGGAACUAUGUCUGAAGCUGUCAGGACCUGAAUCAGGGAUGCCUAGUCAAUACCUUGCAAGCCUUUGCCUCUGUCAGUGAACACAGAUAUGAGUAAAUGUAUAUUCUUGGCAGUA
rnacentral:lncRNA from 1 species